AUUAUUUUAAGAAGAGGUUCUAGAUUCCAACAAGCUACCAAAGGAGUCUGUGAUAUUUAAAAUACCCUUAUUUUCAAGAAAUCAAUAACUCUUCAAGGUGACUGAUGUUUCUGAAAGAUUUUGAUUAUUUCCUGAUGAUUAUUUGGGCUAUUUUUAAGCAAUAUUUUUGAUUCCUUUAAAAAAAAUUACUUGAACUUUUUUUUUUACUGCUUCAGAGAAAUUGAUUCUCUGGCCCAGAAUGAUUCAUGGGAUGUUGCCUUCCAUACACACACUCACAGUCAACAAUAUCUCUAACAGUCAAAGAAGUGUGAUCAUUAAAAAAAAUAUAUUUCCUACAUAUAUUUCAUUACAUAACAUCUAUUCUUUUAAAACUAUAGAAUUAAACACUCAACAAAAAAUUCAAUUAAAAUCUUUAUAUAGCAGAAUCAAGCACCCAAUUGCUUAUAAAAAGUAAGGAAAUCAUCUGAGUCUGGCUUUAUCCUAUUAAAAUAAAACAUUUUGCAACCAGGUUGUAGUAGUUGAAACACCUACAUAACCUUUGCCAUCUCAAAAUAAAAAAAAAAAAAACCACACCUAAUUUUUUGCUUGUCUCUCAAGUUAUUUGCAUACUAUUAGAUGAUACUACUCUGAAAUUAAGGACUUUCUUAGAUUGGAUACAGCUUAAUUUUUUUUCUGUAAAUUUUUCAUUGAAUUUUCAGAAGGUACGAAAAUUAUUUGGAUUAUGUGUGUAUAUAUGUAUGUACGUAUUUGUAUGAAUAUCUAUGCACAUCUAUGUUUUUAGUUAGUGUAGGGAACUUUCAGUAUCCCUUCAUUCAUAUAGAUUGGCUUCUUAGAGAAUAUAGAGUUGCUUAAGAGCAUACUUGUCCAAUUCAGUAGAGUUAAAACUUGAAUCCAGUUCUUUCACUUUCCACUAAGCCAUAUAGGUAGAUAUAUAUGUAAAUAUAUAUAUAUGGCAUAUGUAUAGGUAAAUAUGAGUACAUAGCUAUAUGUAUGGCUAUAUGUGUUGUUAUAACAUAGGAUUUCUUAUUUAUUUGCUUUCUUUACAAAAAUAUUGUUUAAAGAAACCCAAAUUCAGUUAUAAGAACAAGAUCAGUUGAAGAGUUUUACUUUGCCUGAUUCCAUCAAUAUGCACCUUUUAAGUAAAGCUAAAACUGAAGCUUUUGAAAAAUAUUCUCUUAAACAAGAAUCCCAAGGGGGAUUCCCCCUGAGGUCAUUACUCUUCUUCUGCAAUUGAAUGUUGGUUUCCAUCCUUACACAUUUCUUGGUUUAGUGUUUCGACAAUGAUAGAUCUUUGCAGUUCUAAAAGAAAAAAAUCCCCAAGCAUUUUAUUAUAAAACAAAUUCAUUUUUGAGAGACUGAAGAAAUUUCUAUUUAACUUUUGGCCAAACAAAACUGUUUAUUUGUUUUUCUAAUUCCUCCACAAAUCAUUUUCUUGAUAUUUCUUAGUCAUUCUUCCAGGAGAAUACAAACCUUUCCAGGAUAAAAGAAAAAAUACAUGUUGACCACAUUAAUUCUAGAUCUAAUUAGUGAUAUGUCUUCUUUUUGCUUCAUGAAAAAGUAUCAGAUAAAGGAUAGAAUAGUCUGUCCGAUGGGCACAACCUAUAAAUAGCAGCAUUUAUUUUAUGUAGGCAUGGAAAAUAGUUGCUUAUAAAACAUUACAUUAUUAUUCCAUAGUUUCAUAGAUUUAGGAUUAUAGCUCUAGAUCUGAAAGAGAUUUAGAGUUUAAUCCCUUCAUUUUGCAGAGGAAGAAACUGAGGUCCAGUGAGGUUACCCAAGUCAUACAAGCAGCAAAUGUCAGAGGUGAUUGGUGCAAUGGGUAGAACACUGGGCAUGGAGUCAAGAAGUCCUGGGUUCCAAUCUAUCCACUCUUUCACCAUUAUUCAUGCAAUGUCAAGAGAACCACAGGUCAGUCUCCUGCAAGUCUCCUGGACUCCUUGGGGCAGAUCUGCUGGCCAAAAAUCACCAUGGAUGGGCUGCUGUGGAGACAUUGCCAUCUGCAUCAUCGGAGGGAAUAACCAGGUAUAUGUGAUUACGUCUAUUGAAAACCAUUCAUCAUGGUUAAUUCUUAGCAUGGAAAAUAUCAUUCAUAUUGUUAGUGAACAGAGCCAUCAGGUUCAUAUAAUAAAGGAAAAAUGGGAAACUCUUUAUCCAUGGCCUGUUUCAUUUGUAUUUUUGAUUCCAUCACUAGCAAAGUGCUUUGUAUCAUUUAAAAAAUACUCGUUGAACAAAAGCCAGGAUGACUGUAAGCUAACUCCAUUCCCUGCCCACAUCAGUAUUUUGCACCCACACAACCUUGUCUCUGGACCAUCUUGUGCUAACUUUAGUAAUGUCUCAUUUAUUUGGGCGUCGCUGACACAGGAG
ensembl:lncRNA